UACAAGACAGGUCUUUCUCAUAGGUGAU
rnacentral:piRNA from 1 species